rnacentral:rRNA from 1 species
GGAAUCUUCCACAAUGGACGAAAGUCUGAUGGAGCAACGCCGCGUGAGUGAAGAAGGGUUUCGGCUCGUAAAACUCUGUUGUUAAAGAAGAACAUAUCUGAGAGUAACUGUUCAGGUAUUGACGGUAUUUAACCAGAAAGUCACGGCUAACUACGUGCCAA